AAGGGCCUCCGCUGGGAACACACAAAGGCCAAGGCGGAGGUGGGGAGGUGCCUGUAGAGCGAUUGGAUUCGUAUAAAGAAAAGGUACUCGUAUAUACUAUAUAUGUUGAGUCGAUUUUGACGAGAAGGGAGCCCCUUCCCGAGAGAUUAGGUCUGGUCUGAGGAGAAAAUACGCUCCGCUCCGAUCCGAUAUACUGUCAGCGAAGUAGUUGUCGAUGGCUGCGCUUCGCUAUGCGGCGCGGAAGAUCUGCGGUCGCGCACUACAGCGACCGCGGGUUGUAUAUCCGGCGGUCACAUCGCCGGCUUUGGAGGCGGAGCGGAGGCUGUUGCCCAUGCUUAUCCGUGGCGAGAUGCCUCACAUCUCAUAUACCCGCCACUUCAGUUCCUCCGCUACUCCUCAACCACCCCUUGCCAACAAUAAUAAAUCGAUUUCUGGACAUCGUUUGCCUUGCCCAAAUCCUGCCGCAGAUGCCAAGUUUCAUAACAACAUAGAUCCUGCAAGUCUUGAGACGCUAGUGCAGGAGAAGAAAGACGAGCUGUUCCGUCUGCUACUUCAGAUGGAUCUUCACAAUGGCUCGUGUGAAAAAAGUGCCGAGGAGAACAAAGCCAUACUGAGGCUGCUUCGGCAAUUCCGUGCUGAGACGCGAGAUAAUGGUACCUUGUAAGUAGGCUCUA
rnacentral:lncRNA from 1 species